rnacentral:rRNA from 1 species
CUUUGAAAAUAAUUUAAGGUCUAACCUGCCCAAUGAUGAUUUAAAUGGCCGCAGUAUUUUGACUGUGCAAAGGUAGCAUAAUCAUUAGUUUUUUAAUUGAAAGCUGGAAUGAAGGGUUGAAUGAAAAAAUAACUGUCUCUAUUAAAAUUUUAUAGAAUUUUAUUUUUAAGUAAAAAAGCUUAAAUAAAAUUAGAAGACGAGAAGACCCUAUAGAGUUUAAUUAAUUUUAUAUAAAUUAUUUUUUAGUAUUUAGUAUAUUUAUAAAAAUUAAUUUGAUUGGGGUGAUCAAAAAAUUUGAGAAACUUUUUUUUUAUAAGAACAUUAAUUUAUGAAUAAUUGAUCCUUUUAAAAGAUUAUAAGAUAAAAUUACCUUAGGGAUAACAGCGUAAUUUUUUUAAAGAGUUCAAAUCGAAAAAAAAGAUUGCGASCUCGAUGUUGGAUUAAAAUAAAAUUUUGGUGUAGAAGCUAAA